CCUACGGGAGGCUGCCGUGAGGCAUAUUGGUCAAUGGACGAGAGUCUGAACCAGCCAAGUAGCGUGAAGGAUGCCUGCCCUAUGGGUUGUAAACUUCUUUUAUCUGGGAAUAAAACGUUCCACGUGUGGGAUUUUGUAUGUAACAUAUGACUCAGGAUCGGUUAACUCCGUGCCAGCAGCCGCGGUAAUCCUGAGGAUCCUAGCGUUAUCCGGAUUUAUUGGGUUUAAAGGGAGCGUAGGUGGAUUGUUAAGGCAGUUGUGAAAGUUUGCGGCUCAACCGUAAAAUUGCAUUUGAAACUGGCAGUCUUGAGUACAGUAGAGGUAGGCGGAAUUCGUGGUGUAGCGGUGAAAUGCUUAGAUAUCACGAAGAACUCCGAUUGCGAAGGCAGUUCACUGGACUGCAACUGACACUGAGGCUCGAAAGUGUGGGUAUCAAACAGGAUUAGAUACCCUGGUAGUG
rnacentral:rRNA from 1 species